rnacentral:rRNA from 1 species
UACAGAGGGGGCAAGCGUUGUUCGGAAUUACUGGGCGUAAAGGGCGCGUAGGCGGCCUGUUAAGUCGAACGUGAAAUCCCCGGGCUCAACCCGGGAACUGCGUCCGAUACUGGCAGGCUUGAAUCCGGGAGAGGGAUGUAGAAUUCCAGGUGUAGCGGUGAAAUGCGUAGAUAUCUGGAGGAAUACCGGUGGCGAAGGCGGCAUCCUGGACCAUUACUGACGCUGAGGCGCGAAAGCUAGGGGAGCAAACGGG